rnacentral:rRNA from 1 species
UUCUUCGGAAUUAGAGACCGGCGCACGGGUGCGUAACGCGUAUGCAAUCUACCUUUCACAGAGGGAUAGCCCAGAGAAAUUUGGAUUAAUACCUCAUAGUAUAGCAGUUUCGCAUGAAACCACUAUUAAAGUCACAACGGUGAAAGAUGAGCAUGCGUCCCAUUAGCUAGUUGGUAAGGUAACGGCUUACCAAGGCAACGAUGGGUAGGGGUCCUGAGAGGGAGAUCCCCCACACUGGUACUGAGACACGGACCAGACUCCUACGGGAGGCAGCAGUGAGGAAUAUUGGACAAUGGGCGCAAGCCUGAUCCAGCCAUGCCGCGUGCAGGAUGACGGUCCUAUGGAUUGUAAACUGCUUUUAUACGAGAAGAAACCCUCCGACGUGUCGGAGCUUGACGGUAUCGUAAGAAUAAGGAUCGGCUAACUCCGUGCCAGCAGCCGCGGUAAUACGGAGGAUCCAAGCGUUAUCCGGAAUCAUUGGGUUUAAAGGGUCCGUAGGCGGUCAGGUAAGUCAGUGGUGAAAGCCCAUCGCUCAACGGUGGAACGGCCAUUGAUACUGUCUGACUUGAAUUAUUAGGAAGUAACUAGAAUAUGUAGUGUAGCGGUGAAAUGCUUAGAGAUUACAUGGAAUACCAAUUGCGAAGGCAGGUUACUACUAAUGGAUUGACGCUGAUGGACGAAAGCGUGGGUAGC